AGCAGCCGCGGUAAUUCCAGCUCCAAUAGCGUAUAUUAAAGUUGUUGCAGUUAAAAAGCUCGUAGUUGAAUUUCGGGAUCAAUAUGUUGGUCGUGCCUUGGUACGUACUAAUUUAUUGGUUUCUUCCUUCUGACGAACCUUGAUGUCAUUAAUUUGGUGUCUUGGGGAAUCAGGACUGUUACUUUGAAAAAUUAGAGUGUUUAAAGCAGGCUCACGCUUGAAUACAUUAGCAUGGAAUAAUGAAAUAGGACGUUUGAUUCUAUUUUGUUGGUUUCUAGGAUCGACGUAAUGAUUAAUAGGGAUAGUUGGGGGCAUUAGUAUUCAAUUGUCAGAGGUGAAAUUCUUGGAUUUAUUGAAGACUAACUACUGCGAAAGCAUUUGCCAAGGAUGUUUUCAUUAAUCAAGAACGAAAGUUAGGGGAUCGAAGACGAUCAGAUACCGUCGUAGUCU
rnacentral:rRNA from 1 species